CGAGGCUUUGCCUUGCUUCUUUGGCUUAGCUGACCCUAGCGAUUACCCCAAUGUGGGUAACUCGGUCGUAUAAUUUCUGGUAGUGGGGACUGCGUUCGCGCUAUCCCCGU
rnacentral:snRNA from 1 species